AAUGAACGCUGGCGGCAUGCCUAACACAUGCAAGUCGAGCGGAAGCAGGGGGCUUGCUCGCGGAUGCAGCGGUGGACGGGUGGGUCAUGCCCAGGAGUUUGCCCUAACUCGGGGAAUGAGGUGCGGAAACGGGCGCAUAUCUUGCAUCCGACCAGAUGUCGAAAGUGGGGGAUCCCCGGUUCUCAUGCCUUCUGAUGAGGCUAGGUCGGUUCCGCUAGGCGGUGGGGUAAAGGCUUACCAAGGCGACGAACCGUAACUGGUCUGAGAGGGUGACCAGACACACUGGAACUGAGACACGGUCCAGACUCCUACGGGAGGAAGCGGUGGGGAAUAUUGCGCGAUGGGCGAAAGCCUGAUCCAGCAAUGCCGCGGGAGGGAUGAAGGUGUUCGGAUUGUAAAGCGCUGUAAGUUGGGAGGAAGGAAAGUUAGUUUAACCGUGACGGUAUUGACGGUACCGACAGAAUAAGCUCCGGCUAACUUCGUG
rnacentral:rRNA from 1 species